GUGGGGAAUUUUGGACAAUGGGCGAAAGCCUGAUCCAGCAAUGCCGCGUGCAGGAUGAAGGCCCUCGGGUUGUAAACUGCUUUUGUACGAAACGAAAAGCCUGGGGCUAAUAUCCCCGGGUCAUGACGGUACCGUAAGAAUAAGCACCGGCUAACUACGUGCCAGCAGCCGCGGUAAUACGUAGGGUGCAAGCGUUAAUCGGAAUUACUGGGCGUAAAGCGUGCGCAGGCGGUUUUGUAAGACAGUGGUGAAAUCCCCGGGCUCAACCUGGGAACUGCCAUUGGGACUGGAAGGCUAGAGUGCGGCAGAGGGGGAUGGAAUUCCGCGUGUAGCAGUGAAAUGCGUAGAUAUGCGGAGGAACACCGAUGGCGAAGGCAAUCCCCUGGGCCUGCACUGACGCUCAUGCACGAAAGCGUGGGGAGCAAACAGGAUUAGAAACCCGGGUAGUCC
rnacentral:rRNA from 1 species